UACGUAGGGGGCAAGCGUUGUCCGGAAUCAUUGGGCGUAAAGAGCGUGUAGGCGGCUUGGUAAGUCCGCUGUGAAAGUCCAGGGCUCAACCCUGGAAAGCCGGUGGAAACUGUCAAGCUCGAGUCCGGAAGAGGCGAGUGGAAUUCCUGGUGUAGCGGUGAAAUGCGCAGAUAUCAGGAGGAACACCAAUGGCGAAGGCAGCUCGCUGGGACGGUACUGACGCUAAGGCGCGAAAGCGUGGGGAGCGAACAGG
rnacentral:rRNA from 1 species